rnacentral:rRNA from 1 species
GGUGCUUGCACCUCUUGAGAGCGGCGGACGGGUGAGUAAUGCCUAGGAAUCUGCCUGGUAGUGGGGGAUAACGUUCGGAAACGAACGCUAAUACCGCAUACGUCCUACGGGAGAAAGCAGGGGACCUUCGGGCCUUGCGCUAUCAGAUGAGCCUAGGUCGGAUUAGCUAGUUGGUGAGGUAAUGGCUCACCAAGGCGACGAUCCGUAACUGGUCUGAGAGGAUGAUCAGUCACACUGGAACUGAGACACGGUCCAGACUCCUACGGGAGGCAGCAGUGGGGAAUAUUGGACAAUGGGCGAAAGCCUGAUCCAGCCAUGCCGCGUGUGUGAAGAAGGUCUUCGGAUUGUAAAGCACUUUAAGUUGGGAGGAAGGGUUGUAGAUUAAUACUCUGCAAUUUUGACGUUACCGACAGAAUAAGCACCGGCUAACUCUGUGCCAGCAGCCGCGGUAAUACAGAGGGUGCAAGCGUUAAUCGGAAUUACUGGGCGUAAAGCGCGCGUAGGUGGUUCGUUAAGUUGGAUGUGAAAGCCCCGGGCUCAACCUGGGAACUGCAUUCAAAACUGUCGAGCUAGAGUAUGGUAGAGGGUGGUGGAAUUUCCUGUGUAGCGGUGAAAUGCGUAGAUAUAGGAAGGAACACCAGUGGCGAAGGCGACCACCUGGACUGAUACUGACACUGAGGUGCGAAAGCGUGGGGAGCAAACAGGAUUAGAUACCCUGGUAGUCCACGCCGUAAACGAUGUCAACUAGCCGUUGGGAGCCUUGAGCUCUUAGUGGCGCAGCUAACGCAUUAAGUUGACCGCCUGGGGAGUACGGCCGCAAGGUUAAAACUCAAAUGAAUUGACGGGGGCCCGCACAAGCGGUGGAGCAUGUG